AUCAUAACAUUAGCAUUCCCCAAAGAAGGUCUGGUUUGGCACCACAUUAUCAUUAAUAGAAACAGCUGGGUAACUGAUCAGUUAACCAGUUGAAUGAUCUUUAAUGAAGAAUCACAACAAGCUUGAGGUAUUUCUAGUGAUGUCCUUUAGAACCUGGAAAGGAUACUAAAAAAAAAAGAAUUAUUCUAUAUUUUUAUUGAUAAUCUUGAAAUAAGAAGAAUACCCCUUCCCAAACAAGUACAUAGGUUGCACAGAGCCCAGAGAGCACUGUACAGUGCUGAGCCCUGGGCAGUCAUUACAGUGACCCAGCAGGGGCAAUGGCCAGUGUGUUCCAAUACAGCCAAAGGAACAAAUUUCACAUGCAGGGACAAAAAAGAAAAAAGAAAACCCAACAAAAAAACCCAACCAAAAAACGCAAACCACAUAUACCGAAUGUGGGCCUGCAUCUCAGUAGGAACUGCAGCUGCAAGCAACUCCAUAAAAAUUUCCAGAACACCACUAUGGCAAGGCACUUCUUUAGACAUGUGGGAUAUAAAAAACCAAGGAGUUUACUUCUGCAUAUAGAGCUGUCAAGACCAAAACCGAAGACACAAAAUUGCCGGCCAGUCAGCCACAGGAGGCUCUUUAUGGAAAUCACAGCGCUCUACUCGUGCCGAUUCUGAGCGAGCACGCAGCAGCCUGGCCUUGUGUCACAGCCCCUCCCGACCAGAGAUUACCGUGAUGAAUCCUGCAUGAUCCCUAUUCAGUGCUGUGAGAAGUUGGCUAACUCCAUUCCCACUAUUGGGGGCUAAAAAUCCCAUUCCUAAAAAAAGCUUGUUCAGUAUUGUGAAUAUAUUCUCCAUAUCAAAGAAUGCUUUUUGUUUAUUUGUGAAUAAGUUUUCUAUAUAUUACACCCUUUCAGGUUGGAGCUGCUCAUUGUUAUGACCUGAAAUAUAUUAUUUCUAUGUGUUAUAAUUUAUAUACUAAAGCACAUAUUAAUGGCA